rnacentral:rRNA from 1 species
GACGAACGCUGGCGGCGUGCUUAACACAUGCAAGUCGAACGAAGAGCGAUGGAAGCUUGCUUCUAUCAAUCUUAGUGGCGAACGGGUGAGUAACGCGUAAUCAACCUGCCCUUCAGAGGGGGACAACAGUUGGAAACGACUGCUAAUACCGCAUACGAUCUAAUCUCGGCAUCGAGGAAAGAUGAAAGGUGGCCUCUAUUUAUAAGCUAUCACUGAGGGAGGGGAUUGCGUCUGAUUAGCUAGUUGGAGGGGUAACGGCCCACCAAGGCGAUGAUCAGUAGCCGGUCUGAGAGGAUGAACGGCCACAUUGGGACUGAGACACGGCCCAGACUCCUACGGGAGGCAGCAGUGGGGAAUCUUCCGCAAUGGACGAAAGUCUGACGGAGCAACGCCGCGUGAGUGAUGACGGCCUUCGGGUUGUAAAGCUCUGUUAAUCGGGACGAAAGGCCUUCUUGCGAACAGUUAGAAGGAUUGACGGUACCGGAAGAGAAAGCCACGGCUAACUACGUG